UAAUAAAAAAAUCAUCUAUUUCUACUGUUAAACAUUGACAUGGUUGAUGAAAUAACCAAACAAUUACACAUGGUGUGCCACGUGUACCUUAUGCUAACAUACAUGGACCAAAUUUAAGCAGUAAAAAUGGAUGAAAUUUUUAAUA
rfam:Gossypium arboreum cultivar AKA8401 contig_109102_1, whole genome shotgun sequence.